GACGAACGCUGGCGGCGUGCUUAACACAUGCAAGUCGAACGAAGUGGCGAACGGGUGAGUAACGCGUAAUCAACCUGCCCUUCAGAGGGGGACAACAGUUGGAAACGACUGCUAAUACCUCAUACUUAAGGAGGGGGUUGCGUUUGAUUAGCUAGUUGGAGGGGUAACGGCCCAACAAUGCGAUGAUCAGUAGCCGGGCUGGGAGGAUGAACGGCCACAUUGGGACUGGAACACGGCCCAGACUCCUACGGGAGGCAGCAGUGGGGGAUCUUCCGCAAUGGACGAAAGUCUUACGGAGCAACGCCGCGUGAGUGAUGACGGCCUUCGGGUUGUAAAGCUCUGUUAAUCGGGACGCGGUACCGGAAUAGAAAGCCACGGCUAACUACGUGCCAGCAGCCGCGGUAAUUC
rnacentral:rRNA from 1 species